UACUUUUUUCCCAUUCACUACAAUUUAGACUAAAUAUACUUAAUUUUAAAAUCACUAGAGUUAGGCUAUAAGAAUGUAAAAGUAAUUUGUUAAUUCUUAUUCAUUUUACUGACAAAAGUGCAAAGAAAAGUCUUCCAGUGCUUUCAUUGACCAAACUGUAUUUAAAAAAAAAAAACACUGUAUUUUGAUUUUGAUGGCUGAAACACACACACAAAUGUUGUUAAUUCACAUUUCAAACUAUAUUCUUUUACUUUAAUCUAUUUAACACAGUCAUGAAACUACACUCUCAGAAAAGGUACAAAAAGGUAGAUAAACUGUCAUUGGGGUAGUACCUUUUGGGUAGGAAUAUGCACACUUUAGAAACGUAUAUGUAUAUUUACAAUACUAAUAUACACCUUUAGGGGGUAAAUAAGAUUCUUUUUUGAAAGUGACAGCUUUUAUACCUUUUUUUUAAAUGACCUUUUUUAAGUUAAAUGACAAAAAUAAAGAACAUUUGCUCAUUAAGAACAGUUAAAGUUUUAACAACAGGCAGAUGAACUAUACAAUUCUAUGCAAAUGCGGCUUGUGAACGAGGAGGGACAAACUCUGCUGUGGGAGGAUUCUCACAUCAUUUACAGUUCUGCUGUUGGUUUAGCAGGAAGUUUAUUAGAUCAGACACUGAACAACUGAAGAAAACGUUUCACAUGUUUGUUUUGUUCUGUUUGUUCCAUCAGGUGUGUUUGGUGAAUCAGUGUCAGUGACGGAGGGAGAUUCUGUUACUUUACACACUGGUGUUACUGAAAUACGUGAGGACGAUGAUAUACUGUGGAAAUUUGGAGCUGAAAAGUCUCAAAUAGCUAAAAUGAAGAAAAAUAAGCAAAUCUUCUCCACAUAUGAUGGUCCUGACGGGAGAUUCAGAGACAGAUUGAAGCUGGACAAUCAAACUGGAUCUCUGACCAUCACAAACAUCACAACUGAACAUGCUGGAGUUUAUCAACUAGAGAUAGCUGGAGCGAAAAAAUCAUCAAAAACAUUCAGUGUUUCUGUCUAUGGUGAGUAGAGAUCAGGAUAGGCAGCAGCUGUCCUAGAGAGCCGCUGUCCAGUAGAGUUUAGCUCCAGCGACAAAAAAAAAAAAAAAACCUCACCUACCUAGUCUUUGUAAUCCUCAAGACACUGAUUACUUGUUCAGCUACGGAUGUUGUCUAUCCCUGGUAUAAAGACAUAAUUUAUCCAAACAUGCACAUAUUAUAUUUCAUUCAUUAAAUCAUUGUAUAGUUUGAGAUGACAGACAUAUUCAGCGACUAUCGACAUGCUAAACACUCUCUCAACACAUUUUUACACAGAUUCACUGGAUUUCACAACACAGAAUAUAGACUGAUUGUUGUGUUCAUAUUUCUCUUUAUUCUCAUGUUUUCAGCUCGUCUGCCUGUUCCUGUCAUCAGCAGUAACUCUUCACAAUGUUCUUCAUCAUCAUCUUCAUCACAGCAGAAUUGUUCAUUGUUGUGUUCAGUGGUGAAUGUGGGUCAUGUGACUCUCUCCUGGUACAAAGGACACAGUUUAUUGUCCAGCAUCAGUGUGUCUGAUCUCAGCAUCAGUCUCUCUCUACCUCUGGAGGUGGAAUAUCAGGAUAAAACACCUACAGCUGUGUGCUCAACAAUCCCAUCAGCAACCAGACCACACAUCUGGACAUCAGUCAACUCUGUCACACAUGUUCAGUUCCUCCGGUCUCAGUCUCAGUCUCUCUGAUAUCUCUGAUCUCUGCUGGAUCUCUGUUGAUAGUUGCUGUAGUUGUGAUAUUCUGGCUCUGCAGGAAACACAGAAAAACUGAUCAAGAAGUUGAGACUUCUGCAGAAGAGUUAUCUUACACUGAGCCGACAUUCAACAGAGCAAACACAGAGGAAUCGAAAGCUAAAGAGGAGAGUGUGGAUUAUGCACCAAUAAUGUUGAGAUGAUCAAACGUCAAUGUCUUUCUUAGAACGAGACCCAGAUCAUUUUCUCCAGAAUCCUCCUGCAACGACCUCAAAUUCUGAGUCAAUGGUUGAGUUUUGAGAUUGUGAAAAUCAUCACAUUGCAUCUGGUCUCCUAAAACUUCAAAAGACUUCACCUUAUAAUACAAGGACAUUUUACAAAUUAUGUAACUUUUACAGCCCAUUGGAUCAUUUU